GCCCAUCAGAAGGGGAUAACGCGUGGAAGCAGGUGCUAAGACCGUAUAACAAGCGAAACCGCAUGGUUUUGAUUUGAAAGGCGCUUUCGGGUGUCGCUGAUGGAUGGACCCGCGGUGCAUUAGCUAGUUGGUGAGGUAACGGCUCACCAAGGCCACGAUGCAUAGCCGACCUGAGAGGGUGAUCGGCCACAUUGGGACUGAGACACGGCCCAAACUCCUACGGGAGGCAGCAGUAGGGAAUCUUCGGCAAUGGACGAAAGUCUGACCGAGCAACGCCGCGUGAGUGAAGAAGGUUUUCGGAUCGUAAAACUCUGUUGUUAGAGAAGAACAAGGAUGAGAGUAACUGUUCAUCCCUUGACGGUAUCUAACCAGAAAGCCACGGCUAACUACGUGCCAGCAGCCGCGGUAAUACGUAGGUGGCAAGCGUUGUCCGGAUUUAUUGGGCGUAAAGCGAGCGCAGGCGGUUUCUUAAGUCUGAUGUGAAAGCCCCCGGCUCAACCGGGGAGGGUCAUUGGAAACUGGGAGACUUGAGUGCAGAAGAGGAGAGUGGAAUU
rnacentral:rRNA from 1 species